rnacentral:rRNA from 1 species
GAUGAACGCUGGCGGCGUGCCUAAUACAUGCAAGUCGAGCGAACAGACGAGGAGCUUGCUCCUCUGACGUUAGCGGCGGACGGGUGAGUAACACGUGGAUAACCUACCUAUAAGACUGGGAUAACUUCGGGAAACCGGAGCUAAUACCGGAUAAUAUAUUGAACCGCAUGGUUCAAUAGUGAAAGACGGUUUUGCUGUCACUUAUAGAUGGAUCCGCGCCGCAUUAGCUAGUUGGUAAGGUAACGGCUUACCAAGGCAACGUUGCGUAGCCGACCUGAGAGGGUCAUCGGCCACACUGGAACUGAGACACGGUCCAGACUCCUACGGGAGGCAGCAGUAGGGAAUCUUCCGCAAUGGGCGAAAGCCUGACGGAGCAACGCCGCGUGAGUGAUGAAGGUCUUCGGAUCGUAAAACUCUGUUAUUAGGGAAGAACAAAUGUGUAAGUAACUAUGCACGUCUUGACGGUACCUAAUCAGAAAGCCACGGCUAACUACGUG